UAAGCUGUAUUCCCAAUCACGCAGCCUAAUGACUAAGCUUCCAAUGAAAUGUAGAGAUGUAUAUUUAAAGCUGCCAACUCCUGCAUGCACGUUGCUUAAUAAGGGAAGCAAUUCAAUUGGCAUGCCAUCUUUGCAACAUCCAGGCUGUUACCAAGAGUUUGUUCUUUCUUAAAGGGCCACUAUACUGUCAACAAUAUUUUCGUUUGAAUUCAGCUUUCUAAUAAACAACAGAAGUGGAAUGAGCAUCCUGAA